CUGGCGGCACGCUUAACACAAUGCAAGUCGAACGGAGUUAUCGAGAGCUUGCUUUGAUAACUUAGUGGCGGACGGGUGAGUACACGUGAGCAAUCUGCCCUUAAGAGGGGGAUAGCAGUUGGAAACGACUGAUAAUACCGCAUAAGAUAGUAGUACCGCAUGGUACAGCUAUAAAAGAUUUAUCGCUUAAAGGAUGAGCUCGCGUCUGAUUAGCUAGUUGGUGAGGUAACGGCUCACCAAGGCAACGAUCAGUAGCCGGACUGAGAGGUUGGACGGCCACAUUGGGACUGAGACACGGCCCAGACUCCUACGGGAGGCAGCAGUGGGGAAUAUUGCACAAUGGAGGAAACUCUGAUGCAGCGAUGCCGCGUGAGGGAAGAAGGUUUUAGGAUUGUAAACCUCUGUUGACAGGGACGAUAAUGACGGUACCUGUUGAGGAAGCUCCGGCUAACUACGUGCCAGCAGCGGC
rnacentral:rRNA from 1 species